rnacentral:lncRNA from 1 species
CAUUCCUUGAUGCAUUAACACUAUUUUUGAUCCGGUGCAAUGUUGUAGUACACAGGUCUUUUUGCAUAUUGGCAAAAUCUUUGGCAUUAGGACCAAGCAUAUGAAUAAUUCUGGAUCCAUUGGCACCAUCUUUUAUAUUAUACACUGCAGCAUUAAUGAUGCAUUUCUAGCUCUACAUACUGGCGAAAGCUUGGACACCAGAGACAAGCAUAGUAACAUUUUCUUGGAUGGGCUGCCACCAUUUUUAAUGUGGUGAACUGCCGUAGCAGAGAGCCUCUCUCUGAAGUAGGGAAAUCUUGGGCGCGAGCGACAUACAUAUGAACAUUUAUGGCAAGACUAGCAUCGUUUUUGAUAGAAGGAUUUAUGCUAGUUGAUCCCGAAUACUCCUAAUCCUACUCAUAGUCGAAAGAUUCUUUUUUUUUCCUACUAUCCCUUGGUAGUCGUC